rnacentral:lncRNA from 1 species
AGCUGCCUCUAUAAAUAGGGUGAAGCCCACGACACAUGUUCACACCCAGCAGAGCUUCCCAAGCGAUUUUCUGAACGUUUGCAGUUGUCCGCCAGACGGUCGAGUUGUCUCAUCAUGCGCCGCCUGCUGAUACUCGUGGCAAUGGUGCUCCUCAUCUCUGGCACCUGCAUGUCUGCUCCACAGCCACCGGGCGGAGCAGGUGCCAUAACCAUAGGCAUGCUCGCAGCUCCACAACCUAAGGUCCUUGGUGAUGUCCGUAAGAACCCCGGUACACCCCUCAGUGGUGCCAUCAUGAAGCGAGGGUGAUCCCUACUACAGGAUCAGCAACUACUACAAAUCCAGCAACAAAUGCUUUCAGCAAGCCUGCUUGUCUCCUAUCUCCAUCCUGCUUGUCUUCACUAUCCUGCUACACGUGACCCGCUGACGUACCCUGUACUCAGUGUCAGUGAACAGAUACAACAGUGAACAUUCAGUAACCGCUGUGACAGCAAAUAUUAUCACAAUGUGGUGACAACACACCUUCACUGACAUGUGGCCAGCAGUAACACACAGCAGUAAGAACGAUGGCCAACAAACAAACAAACAUAAACAAGUGAGAUGCUGCACUUUACAAAAA